rnacentral:rRNA from 1 species
GGUACCUGGCGGCGUGCCUACACAUGCAAGUCGAGCGAACCCUUCGGGGUGAGCGGCGGACGGGUGAGUAACGCGUGGGUAACCUGCCCUGUACACACGGAUAACAUACCGAAAGGUAUGCUAAUACGGGAUAACAUAUGAGAGUCGCAUGGCUUUUGUAUCAAAGCUCCGGCGGUACAGGAUGGACCCGCGUCUGAUUAGCUAGUUGGUAAGGUAACGGCUUACCAAGGCAACGAUCAGUAGCCGACCUGAGAGGGUGAUCGGCCACAUUGGAACUGAGACACGGUCCAAACUCCUACGGGAGGCAGCAGUGGGGAAUAUUGCACAAUGGGCGAAAGCCUGAUGCAGCAACGCCGCGUGAGCGAUGAAGGCCUUCGGGUCGUAAAGCUCUGUCCUCAAGGAAGAUAAUGACGGUACUUGAGGAGGAAGCCCCGGCUAACUACGUGCCAGCAGCCGCGGUAAUACGUAGGGGGCUAGCGUUAUCCGGAAUUACUGGGCGUAAAGGGUGCGUAGGCGGUCUUUCAAGCCAGAAGUGAAAGGCUACGGCUCAACCGUAGUAAGCUUUUGGAACUGUAGGACUUGAGUGCAGGAGAGGAGAGUGGAAUUCCUAGUGUAGCGGUGAAAAUGCGUAGAUAUUAGGAGGAACACCAUUUAACAAAAGCGCCUCUUUGUGACUGUAACUGGACGCUGAUGCACAUAAAGCGGGAGAAGCAAACAGGUUUAAUUUCCCUUGGUUAGUCCUCUCCUAUUAAACGAUGGAUUUCUAAAUUGUUGGGUGUGUUCCCCCUUCUUGUUCCUGAACACGAGCUGUUAUAGUGU